rnacentral:rRNA from 1 species
CAGUAGCCGCGGGAAUACGUAGGGUGCGAGCGUUAAUCGGAAUUACUGGGCGUAAAGCGUGCGCAGGCGGUUAUAUAAGACAGAUGUGAAAUCCCCGAGCUCAACCAGGGACCUGCAUUUGUGACUGUAUAGCUAGAGUACGGUAGAGGGGGAUGGAAUUCCGCGUGUAGCAGUGAAAUGCGUAGAUAUGCGGAGGAACACCGAUGGCGAAGGCAAUCCCCUGGACCUGUACUGACGCUCAUGCACGAAAGCGUGGGGAGCAAACAGGAUUAGAUACCCCAGUAGUCCCUGUCUCUUAUAC